CCUACGGGAGGCAGCAGUGGGGAAUAUUGCACAAUGGGCGAAAGCCUGAUGCAGCGACGCCGCGUGAGGGACGAAGGCCUUCGGGUUGUAAACCUCUUUCAGCAGGGAAGAAGCGAAAGUGACGGUACCUGCAGAAGAAGCGCCGGCUAACUACGUGCCGGCAGCCGCGGUAAUACGUAGGGCGCAAGCGUUAUCCGGAAUUAUUGGGCGUAAAGAGCUCGUAGGCGGUUUGUCGCGUCUGCUGUGAAAGCCCGGGGCUCAACCCCGGGUCUGCAGUGGGUACGGGCAGA
rnacentral:rRNA from 1 species